rnacentral:rRNA from 1 species
GACGUAGGAUGCGAGCGUAUUCGGAAUUUAUUGGGCGUAAAGCGUGCGUAGGCGGCUGUUUAAGUCUGGUGUUAAAGCUAGGGGCUCAACCCCUGUGAUGCACUGGAAACUGGGCAGCUUGAGUGCGGUAGGGGAAGGUGGAAUUCCGAGUGUAGCGGUGAAAUGCGUAGAUAUUCGGAAGAACACCGGUGGCGAAGGCGACCUUCUGGGCCGCAACUGACGCUGAGGCACGAAAGCCUGGGGAGCGAACGGG